rnacentral:rRNA from 1 species
AAUGAACGCUAGCGGCAGCCCUAAUACAUGCAAGUCGAACGGUGUAGCAAUACACAGUGGCGCACGGGUGCGUAACACGUAUGCAACCUACCUUACAUUGGGGGAUAGCCUUUCGCAAGGGAGAUUAAUACCGCAUAAGACAGUAACUAGGCAUCUAGUAGCUGUUAAAGAUUUAUCGAUGUAAGCUGGGCAUGCGUCCAAUUAGUUAGUUGGCGAGGUAAUGGCUCACCAAGACGAUGAUUGGUAGGGGAACUGAGAGGUCAAUCCCCCACACUGGCCCUGAGAUACGGGCCAGACUCCUACGGGAGGCAGCAGUAGGGAAUAUUGGGCAAUGGGCGCAAGCCUGACCCAGCCAUGCCGCGUGCAGGAAGAAGGCGUUAUGCGUUGUAAACUGCUUUUAUACAGGAAGAAACGACCCUUGCGAGGGGCAUUGACGGUACUGUAUGAAUAAGCACCGGCUAACUCCGUGCCAGCAGCCGCAGUAAUAC